UACAGAGGUCCCAAGCGUUGUUCGGAUUCAUUGGGCGUAAAGGGUGCGUAGGCGGCGCGGUAAGUCGGGUGUGAAAUCUCGGAGCUUAACUCCGAAACUGCAUUCGAUACUGCCGUGCUUGAGGACUGGAGAGGAGACUGGAAUUUACGGUGUAGCGGUGAAAUGCGUAGAUAUCGUAAGGAAGACCAGUGGCGAAGGCGGGUCUCUGGACAGGUCCUGACGCUGAGGCACGAAGGUCAGGGGAGCAAACGGG
rnacentral:rRNA from 1 species